AGUGGCGGACGGGUGAGUAACGCGUGAGAAUCUGCCUUCAGGUCGGGGACAACAGAGGGAAACUUCUGCUAAUCCCGGAUGAGCCUUAGGGUAAAAAAUUUAUUGCCUGGAGAUGAGCUCGCGUCUGAUUAGCUAGUUGGUAAGGUAAAAGCUUACCAAGGCAACGAUCAGUAGCUGGUCUGAGAGGAUGAGCAGCCACACUGGGACUGAGACACGGCCCAGACUCCUACGGGAGGCAGCAGUGGGGAAUUUUCCGCAAUGGGCGAAAGCCUGACGGAGCAAGACCGCGUGGGGGAGGAAGGCUCUAGGGUUGUAAACCCCUUUUCUUUGGGAAGAACAAAAUGACGGUACCAAAGGAAUCAGCCUCGGCUAACUCCGUGCCAGCAGCUGCGGUAAUACGGAGGAGGCAAGCGUUAUCCGGAAUGAUUGGGCGUAAAGCGUCCGCAGGUGGCAAUGUAAGUCUGCUGUCAAAACCCAGGGCUCAACUCUGGUCAGGCAGUGGAAACUACAUAGCUAGAGUUCGGUAGGGGCAAAGGGAAUUCCCGGUGUAGCGGUGAAAUGCGUAGAGAUCGGGAAGAACAUCGGUGGCGAAAGCGCUUUGCUAGACCGAAACUGACACUCAGGGACGAAAGCUAGGGGAGCGAAUGGGAUUAGAUACCCC
rnacentral:rRNA from 1 species